GACUCGAGUUCGUCAAACGCAAUAGACCAUUUUACGAUUUUCUCCAACGUACAAAAAUAUGCAAGACCGUUCAACAAAGUGGCUCGGAACAUCCUCCUUCAGUGUCCAGCGGUAGUCUGCCAACAUAGAGGGGAUCCACUUUCCUUGGUCAAACAAUAUAAGAUUCUAGAUCCAAGUACCCAGCUCUGAGUACAGCCUGGUCACCUGGUGCAACCCUGGAACGCCGACAUAAGGCUAAAACCAUUUGCGGUGCUGUUCAUUCAAACAGCUGUGAGGAUUGUCCCACCAUUAUCCCAUAUUCAGCUAUAUCCCUAGCUUUGAACGGAAGAAAAAUUCCUAAGGGGAACCAUCACCAGUAGAAGACCAUGCCUCUCCUGUGAAAUCCCCUGUCUCCGCUGGAGAUGGACUGGAACAUGUGUGUUAGCCAAUGUCUGUGAUUAUUGUCAUGUCCAUUUUGUUUCAUUUUGAGAAGGAAAACCUGAUAUUCCACCAAGUUCAGUGAGGGAUUUUGACUCAUAUGUAAUGGUAUUAACUCAGUUUAUGUCUCAUCGGAAACACCUCACUGAUUCACAUGCCAUUAGUGCGAGGCCAUGUGAUGUGUUCAGAAGAUCUGUUAUGAGGGUGAAAAGUGAGUGGCAUUAGGAACUAGUUCCUGUUGUGCCUGCAUUAGCAUUAAUACUAGCAGGAUGUAUCGCCAUCCUCAUGGCAUCCUUUCAAAUCUUUUCCAUGUUUGUCAAGUAUAAAUUAAACCUACCAGAAGAGUUCUAUUGGCUGUGUAGCCAUUUAGCUUAUACGUUUUGCCCAUGCAUUGAUCUGGUUCCUGUUUCAUGGUUGCCGUUAUUCCCCUAGUCGAUGCCAGUUGCCUACCAUCAGUCCAACAAAAUGUAAGUUGGAUUAAAUUCUAGGGAAAUUGCCAAAUUGAAUGGAGUAUGUCAUGGCUUCUUGUCAUGGCAGAUCCAUGGAUAGGAAGGGGUGCCAUCACCAGGUAUGGUAUUUUUCCUUUGGGGGAGUAAUUUGCAGAAAAUAAAUAAAAUAAAUCUUUUGUUGUGCAGCAUAUGGCCCACAAUUCUGCUGUAGCUUUGGGCUUUGGGCUCUGCCUUACUACUCCUCAUCCUCUCUGAAGGAAAAGAAAAAAUAAAGAAUGGUAACCUGAGUAUGUGGUUAUAAAAGGAAGUAGUGCUGUGCUUGCUUUGUGCUUGGCA